UCUCAUGUGGUCUGCUGGUUAGGAUUCCUGGCUUUCACCCAGGCCGCCCCGGGUUCGAUUCCCGGCAUGGGAA